rnacentral:rRNA from 1 species
UAAGGAAUAUUGGUCAAUGGGCGCAAGCCUGAACCAGCCAUGCCGCGUGAAGGGUGACGGCCCUAUGGGUUGUAAACUUCUUUUGUACGGGAAAAAACCUCUGGUCGUGUACCAGAGCUGAUGGUACCGUAAGAAUAAGCAUCGGCUAACUCCGUGCCAGCAGCCGCGGUAAUACGGAGGAUGCAAGCGUUAUCCGGAUUCAUUGGGUUUAAAAGGGUGCGCAGGCGAUUAUUAAGUCAGUGGUGAAGACCUACAGCUUAACUGUAGAACUGCCAUUGAUACUGAUAUUCUUGAGUGUUGUUGAGGUAGGCGGAAUGUGUCAUGUAGCGGUGAAAUGCUUAGAUAUGACACAGAACACCGAUCGCGAAGGCAGCUUACCAAGCAACAACUGACGCUCAU